AAAAAGAUCUGGUUCGUGGUGCAUCUACGGCCUCCCACCUGGGCAGGUGAGGCUGGGGUUAGCUGAGCUUACCUGGCUGGCAGAAAGGUCCUGUUUACAUAAAACCUCUUAUUUUUAGGGAGCAACUGAAUGGAUGAGGGUUUCCUGCCCCCAAAUAUGAGGCAUAAUUAAGAGCCCUUCCAUGUUUUAUCUACUUGGGAGAAAAGUGGUCAGGCGCUUGUUCCAGCCCAGAAUGCAGACAGCCUCGAAUUUUCUGGAAGGAUGAAUCGAAGCUAUCAGCUGAGGCCGUUAGGCUAGCGGGCCCGAACAGUUGUGGCAUUCCUGUGGGGUUCCAUGGGGCCAGUGCUGAGUCGUAUAAAUGGAAGCACUCACGCGGGUUCUACUUUGGGAACAAUAGUCCAUGUCACCUAAGUUCCUCGUGGACGCUGCUCUGGGACGUUUUCUGGAACAGAAAUUUGAAAGAUUCCUCAAGGGCUACCGAGCAACGUCAAAGGGCGCUGUGUUCCACUCACCAGGAAGGGCGGCUGCGGACUGUGGAAGGAGUCUGGGCAGCUGUGUCCGAGGGCUGGAUGCGGUUGUCCUUCUGAGAUGGGUUAUCACGUUUCCCCAGGAAGCCUCUGUGGGAGAGUCUGCAGCCGCGGGGUUAUCGCGCUGAGCUCCCUGCACCGCGAGGCACUAAGCAAUGCCAUGAGAAAGAACAUUCCUGAACUGCGGGGCCACAGUAACGUGCCCUGUGUGAGGAGUGAGCGUGGUGUGCACCUGCUGCCUUCUAGAAAGUGGGAGCCGCAGCCGAGAUGGGGAUUUCUGCCUCAGCCCUCUGUGCAGGUAUCAAUUUAAAAAUGAGAUGGAAUAAAAGAGCAGCCUUCCAUGGAACCCUCUGAGACAUCUAGGAAUAGGAGUCUAGGAAACUAACCUACAUACAACCUACCAAGACUGACUCAUGAAGGAAUAGAAAAUUUGAACAGACCAAUGAGUAAGGAGAUUGAAUCUAAUAAAAAAAAGUCUCCCACCAGAGGUGGGGCGCCUGGAUGGCUCAGUCAGUUGAGUGACUCUUGAUUUUGGCUGAGGUCAUGAUCUCAUGGUUAUGGGAUUGAACCCUGCGUCUGGCUCCAUGCUGGGUGUGGAAUCUGCUUGGGAUUCUCUCUCUCUCCCUCUGCCUCUCUCCUGCUUGCUCUCUCAAAAAAUCUCCCACCAAAGAAAAGCCCAGUAACAGAUGGUUUCACCAGUGAAUUCUACCAAACAUUAAAGAAUAACACCAAUCUUUCUCAAACUCUUCCAAAAAACCGGAGAGGGAAUACUCUCAAACUUAUUUUAGGAGGCCAGGGUACCCUGAUACCAAAGCCAGGUAAGGA